CAGCUGACAGCCAGCAAGGAAAUGGAGACCUCAUGCUGAAAACUGCAAGGCACUGAAUCCUGCUAACAACUUGAUGGCUUAGAAGACUCUGCCCCAGAGCCUCCAGCACUCUCCUGCUCGGUGACUUGAAUCCGGCCUCUUUAACACUUGGGCGGGGUCACAAUCAAAGGGAGCUUCAGGAGCUGCAUCUGAAUGGACAGUGCAUUAAAAUGAGAGAUGAGAGUCGAGUCAACCAGUUGGGAGCCCCAACAACCAUUAGAUGCCUUUGCCCAUGAAGGAAGAAGCUGCUACUUCUUUGAGAACUGCCAUCUUGAGUUGAGACUGUGCAGUCCUUGGCCCUGAUGCUCAGCCCUCUUAUCUUUUCUUUGCGGAAGUCCCUGAUGAGGGAAGCCACAGGCAACUUCAUGGUAAAUGGUUUGAUGGAUGUGGCAACAGUCUGAUGCAUUUUUGAUGGAUAUAAAUAGUCUGGUGGACCCAAAUGUUUUCUCAGCAAACUCCUGGGAUGAUUUUUCUACCAAGGUUGGAAAAGAAGUUAUGUCUAGAAUCUCUUAGACAAUCUGAAACUUCCUUGGAUGUUUAAAAGGAAUUAGAAUAAAGGAACACAUUGCUAAAGUGAUGGAGAAGGAGGAGCUAGGAGAGAAAGCAGGGGCAGAGUGUCUUCAACAAAGGGACAGCACAUAUCUAUCUCAGAUCUUUUAGAUGCCUCUGAAUUAAAAGAUUUUCUUUCUGUCCUUUUCAGCCAUUGAAAUUCCAAAUUUGACUCUUUUUGAUUCACUCCAUUCUGUCUUUUUCCUUCAUGCAGGUAUACCAGGUUGCAAAUGGAAAGGCACAGAAAAAGUUCAGGAAGGCUCCUGGGUCCUUAAAUCCUGUAUUCAGGGGGCAGCCCCCUUGCUGUCCCUUGGUCGCCAGGGAAUUCCUUUGUGUAGGUUAGAGGCAGACCUAGGGCCUGAAACAAAGCAGAACAAGGGGCUACCUGUUCCCUUCCCUGUAGGCCCACACCCAGAUCUCAGCUGCCUUUAUCUCACCCCUCCUACGCAUCAACAAGAAGAAGGGAGACAGCACAGAGCUUUUGUCCCAAUGUCUAGAACAGAGAUGAUAGGAGGCCACCCACACAGGUGUCCUAGAUCAGGGCAUCAGCCAUAGAAUUUGCCAAUUCUCCUUGAAAGCUCCUGGGUUUUUUCUUCUACACGUAGUCCGAAUAGUCCUAGUUAAUAGAGCAACGAAUCACAGGAAACCAAACCUGGUUCAAAAGAAU
rnacentral:lncRNA from 1 species